rnacentral:rRNA from 1 species
UAAAAUGAGCGUUAGAUCACUGCGCUCGUUUGUCGAUGAAGAAUUCAGUCAACUGCAUAUGCCUUCGAUCAUCGACAACUUAAACGCAAAUUGCGGCUACAGGAUAUCCUGUGACCAAGCCUGUACGAGAGUUC